rnacentral:lncRNA from 1 species
AGUGCAUAUUACUGUCCUAACACCUUCCAUAAUCAUUUCUUGCAAUUCUCUUUUUACUUUCUGUACGCUAGUUCGACUCUGAUUCCUAAGAGAAGACAAGAGGCCUUUAUCUAGCAUGAACCUGGUGCAAGUUUAGAGAAAGAAUGACUUUUUUUUUUUUUAAUGCAGGGUAGGAAGGAAGCAAAGUAGAAGAGACAGAAGGAGGGAAAGCCUGUGCAUGACAACCACUACUCUUUUGACAAUUUAAUGUCCAGCUGUUCUGUCAUUCUACUGUGGUGAUGGCUCUUUUAAGGUUCUUGCAGUACCUUGAUGAGACCUCCCUCUUCUAUAUAAUGAAUGUAACCACAAUGUGUAAUGACAGAGGCAAAGCUUGGAGUGAUACGGCUAUUUACCACAGAAUGCCAAGAAUCAGUGUCUACCAGGGAAAGCUAGGUAAGAGUUUCAGAGGAAGCAUGGAUCAGGGGACACUGAUUUUGGACUUUUUGCCUUUAGAAUAGUAAGAAAAUAUAUGUCUGAAGUUUUAAGCCAAUAUUUUUGGUACUUUGUUGUAGCAGCUUUAGAGGCAUAUAUUUAGUCUAUACAGUCAAGUCAAACCUUGUAAAUAUAAAACAAAUAUCUGUAUUUUGGUUAACAGAUACAUCAUAGUAUACUUAUUUAAAGAAAACUUUCUUUGAUCUAGUAAGUCUGGGAAGUACAUAUUAUAUCUCUAUUUUGUGGAAUAUGAUGGAUAAUUUUAUGUGUCAGCUUGACCAGGCCAUGGGUACUCAGAUGUUUGAACAUUUUUCUGGGUAUGCCCAUGAGGGUAUUUUUGGAUCAGGUUACCUGAGAUUAACAUUUUUUUUUUUCUUUUUAUUUAGGGCCACACCUGCUACAUAUGGAAGUUCCUGGGCUGGAGUCAAGUUGGAGCUGCAGCUGCAGGCUUAUACCAUAGCCACAGCAACACCAGAUCCAAGCCACAUCUAUGGGCUACACUGCAGCUUGUGUGAAUGCCAGAUCCUUAAUCCACUGAGUGGAGCCAGGGAUCGAGCCCACAUCCUCAGGGACACUAUGUUGGGUAGCCACCAGGGGAACUCCUGAGAUUAACAUUUUGAUUGGUAAAAUAAAGAAGAUUGUCCUUCAUAAUGUGAGCAGGCCUCAUCUAAUCAGUUGGAAGCCUGAAUAGGACAAAUAGAAUGAUCCUUCCUUGAGUCAGAGUGGAAUUUCCAGCCGACUGCCUUCAGACUUCAUCUAUACCAUCGGCUCUCCUGGGUCUUAAGCCUGCUGGAACACUCUUCAGAUUUGAAUUUACUUCAUAAUUAUGUAAGCCAUAAUAUCUCACAAUAGAUAGAUGGAUAAAUCUAUACGCAUAAAACACAUCUUAUUGGUUCUCUUUCUCUGGAGAACUCUGAAUGAUAGAGAGAUUUAAGCUUAUUUUCAUAUAUUGACUAAAAAUUUCUACCAUAAAGUUACUUAUAUGACUUUGUUAAAACCACCUUUUUUGAAAUUUGACCAAUGAAAUGUAUAUUCAUUGAAUUCCUAUAAAAAUCACAUCCAAGUAGUUUUCACUUGGGAAAUGCACACACGUGUGUGUGUGUGUGUGUGUGUGUGUAUUCACAGCAUUGUGGUGUAGCUACAGGGACCUCGUAAAGCAUUUUUGUGAAAUUAAUACCCCAAGUAUUGUCGGCAAUACCUGCAGCUUCUCAAUUGCUACUCAAAAGCCACUACUGCCUGGAAGUGUGUACUAAUAGCGCUCUUCCAAUAACAGGAUUCCUGUUUCCUGGCCAGUCCAUAGUUCACUGAUCUAUUCUUUCUGACCAAGGUAUGAACUUAGAGUAUAAUUUCAGUUGCUUAUAUGAGAUAUUAGAAAUCAGGUCAUUCAAAGAACAAUCAGGACUAUGGACUCCAGAGAAGCCAACAGGUACAACUUAGUGGAGGUGAUAGCUGCGUAUGAAUUUUUGGUUAUUUCAACACAAUUAAUAGUUGGAAAUCUUUGAUUAAAAUAAGUAAUUAUAUGCAAAAUCAUGAAUGCAAAUGACAUGAAAGGCCACCGUGUUACUACUCAUAAAAAAUGGUCAAACUAAGUAGUAGUAUGCACAAAAUGAUUGGAUUUCAGUGGUUCCACAAAAACACAUUCAGUUGACGGAAAUGAGAAUUUUAUAGCAGUGAUAAAAUUGAAUAGGUUCUGUAUGCUGUCUUUUGAAGCAUGAAACCCAUUCAUAAUUAUUCUAUUGUUAACUGCCUUUUUUUUAUUGAUUCACUACUUCUGUCAGUUAAUUUUUUAUCUUCUCAAAAUUGACUUGUAUUACAUUUCUAAGAACAGACUUAAUAAUGUACCAUAAAAAUAUAUUUACAUGGUUUUAUAGGAUUAACUCUUGUGCUUCCUCAAAAACUUUUCUCUUUUUUCCCCCAGUGAUAUUAUUUUUUGAUAUUAUUUUUUUGCUUUGAUUAUUCACUAUAAGUGCAUAUCCUUUGCUUUGGGGAGAUUUCUGUUUUGAUUGAUUUCUGCUUUGAGAUAUGCAUCUUUCUACUAUCACAUUAAUCCUUUUGAUUAAGAGCUUAAUGGAAAGUGUGGAUAUUCUGACCUAGGUACAGCAACUACAAAGUAGUUUGGCAUUACAAAAUCAAACGAGAAACCAACAAAUCACCUCAAUGGUUUUCAUCUUCCAAAAGGCUAAGUGUGUAAAUCGUGAGAAGGUAGUAAGCUUAUGCACUUGAGAGAAUUAUAAAAAUUAAAGAGCGUAUUAGAAGAAAGUAGGUUGCAACUAGCUGAGACAAGUCUUUAAGAAAAAUUAAAGGGAGAGAUUUGAAAGUAUGAAUAAAUUAUGUCAUUACAUUUUGGUCCUAUGUACUCUUCUCUUUAAUUCUGAUAUUAAGUCUUGAAUUAGAUAACUAGUUUUAAUAUUGUUGAUUCUCACCAGGGUAUUUUCAAAAUGUCUAAGUAUUUAGGCUUAUUUUCCAAAUUAGUUACUUUCAAUGACUAAACAUUAAUUUAUUUUGGGGUACUUUUUUGUGACCCUCAUUGUUGCAAAUAUUAGAUAAUUAUUUUGAAUGUAUACUUUCUAAUGUCCAAGUCACUCCAUAAUGGAUAACGAAAUGACUAAUAGAAUAUCUCUAAUUAUUAAAUGCGAAAAGGAAAAUAUUCAAUGAGCUAUAAAUUACUGACCAUUGUUAUUACUUCCAGGAUAUAUUCAGCAUACAUGCACUCAAGUUUUAAUGUAUUAUGAUACACAAUUUUAUCCUUACUAAGAAAUUAUAAAGGAGCAAUAUUAUUUUUUAAUAAACUGUACAAAUAUAUUUAGGUAAUUUUUCAACAAAUUUAGUGGUUGUUUUAGUAUCAUCAAAAGUACUUUCAGGAGUUCCCGUCGUGGCGCAGUGGUUAACGAAUCCGACUAGGAACCAUGAGGUUGCAGGUUCGGUCCCUGCCCCUGCUCAGUGGGUUAACGAUCCGGCGUUGCGGUGAGCUGUGGUGUAGGUUGCAGAUGGCGGCUCGGAUCCUGCGUUGCUGUGGCUCUGGCAUAGGCCGGUUGCUACAGCUCCGAUUGGACCCCUAGCCUGGGAACCUCCAUGUGCCACGGGAGCGGCCCAAAGAAAUAGCAAAAAAAGACAAAAAAAAGUACU